AUGGCAUCUCUCAUCAUGCUUGUCUCUUGGGCAAUUUGGAACGAAAGGAAUGCCAGGGUCUUUCAACAUAAAAGUGCACCGCCCUCAAUCGCCCUCGACAUCAUCCUCAAGGAAGCGAAACUAUGGGUCGCCGCGGGUGCAAAGAAACUAGGGGAAAUCAUAAUACGCGAGUAA
rnacentral:rRNA from 1 species